AAAUUGGAUGUAAGGAGAGGUUAGCACUCCCUUCAAUAAGGAUGGAAGGGGUUCCUCGUGGCCUCACAACACACAAACCAUUAAGGCAUCACCAUCUACUACUAGACCAGCAAAUGGCUCAGUGGU